rnacentral:rRNA from 1 species
AGAGGUCUCAAGCGUUGUUCGGAAUCACUGGGCGUAAAGGGUGCGUAGGUGGCGUGGUAAGUCAGAUGUGAAAGCCCGGGGCUCAACCUCGGAAUAGCAUCCGAUACUACCAUGCUAGAGUACUGAAGAGGUGACUAGAAUUCUCGGUGUAGCAGUGAAAUGCGUAGAUAUCGAGAGGAAUACCAACGGCGAAGGCAGGUCACUGGGCAGUUACUGACACUGAGGCACGAAGGCCAGGGGAGCAAACGGGAUUAGAUACCCUGGUAGUCCUGGCAGUAAACGGUGCACGUUUGGUGUGGGCGCAAUCGACCGCGUCCGCGCCGGAGCUAACGCGUUAAACGUGCCGCCUGGGAAGUACGGUCGCAAGAUUA